UACAGAGGUCCCAAGCGUUGUUCGGAUUACUGGGCGUAAAGCGUGCGCAGGCGGCUUUGCAAGACAGAUGUGAAAUCCCCGGGCUUAACCUGGGAACUGCAUUUGUGACUGCAUGGCUGGAGUGCGGCAGAGGGGGAUGGAAUUCCGCGUGUAGCAGUGAAAUGCGUAGAUAUGCGGAGGAACACCGAUGGCGAAGGCAAUCCCCUGGGCCUGCACUGACGCUCACGCACGAAAGCGUGGGGAGCAAACAGG
rnacentral:rRNA from 1 species